rnacentral:lncRNA from 1 species
AUUGCCACUGAGGUCAGGGCGGUCCCAUCUCAAAACCAAAGUCAGUGUCACCUGAAAAAAAUGUCAUUCACCAGGCCAAGGGACCCCAAAGACCCCUGGCUGAACCCCGCUCCGGGGAAAGGCGUCAAGCUGUGGGCCUGAACCUGCAGGCUCGGCAAAGAACAGAACUGCCAUCAGCAGCGCUCGAACAGCUGGCGCCGCCCCCGGCCAGAAUGGUCUGUGACCCUUGACCCCCGGCCCCUGACCUCCACUGCAGGCACGUCCCACGCUGGGGUUCCCCCUGGGAUAGCUUGAAAGCCCCCUCACCUGUCACAGUUUCAUCUCAUGCCGCAAUGUUGUCCGUCCCACCACCCGCGGGCGCCCGAUCAAAGGUGGACUAGGCGAGGACGUUAUGUGAGGAAGAUGUGGGGUGCUCAAAUCCGGGUAGACAAACCACAACCCGAGCCCAGCAGGCGUCUCCCCCGCGGAGGUUGCACGGUGCCACUGCUGCCGCUGCCGCCGCCGCCGCUGCAGUAAAUCAGCUGACACCCGACUGCCGUGACUUUCGCUGCAACUGUCGCAAAAAUGAGGGGGCGGGAAACGAUCAUCAUUUCCAUACUUGCCUGGCGGAGGCUGGAGCCAGAGAAGCUGGCCCGUUACCAAGGAGACCGAACUGUGUCGACUGUGGGCAAAGAGUGCACGGUCGCCAUUUUUACUAUGGGAAGUGUCGUCUAGGCUCUCGUCUCGCCUCCAGUGCCCAGCCUGGGAGGACCAAGAUGGAGGGAAGAAUGAAAUGAAAGCAAAGCCAAGCAAACAAGAAAGCAGGCUCUGCUUCACACCAAGGCUCACAAAAUGAGGAAUUCUCUAAACAUUGGAAGGCGUUGGGCUGCUAAAAUGAAUGGCAAAUUUCCCCCAAGACCUGUGGCUACCAUACAGCACAGUACAAGGAAUAAGGAGCACAUAAAGAGUCGUGGAGAAGAGGUGAGUUCCUUGUAGGCUGAGAUGAGGAAGGUGAACCACAUGAGAUUUCAUGAAGGGCUACGAAAAUAAAUAGGAUUUGGAACAGGAAGAACUAGGAAAGCAACACAAUUUUGUUGCUAGUUUUGAAAUGUAUACAAGUGUGUGUAUACAUAUAACACAUGAAUAUAGACACAUAUAUAAUGAACAGAAAGUUAAUUGAAAGUGAAACACAGGGGACAUAAAGCAAAUGUAAAGGGAAACUGUGGCAUUAAGACUUAGUUAUGGGACGCCUGUGUGGUUCAGUCAGUUAAGCAUCUGCCUUCAGCUUUGUCAUGAUCCCUGGGUCCUGGGAUGGAGCCCUAUAUCAGGCUCUCUGCUUCUUCCUUUCCCUCUGCCCCUCC